CUGUGUUGCUAUGCUACGUGUUGAACGUGGAUGUGAACUGUACGUGUUUUAUCUGUGGGAGACAGAUUUGGCAGAAAAUCGGGAACCUGGCGGCCAUUUUCUGCACUUCACAAUAAGACGCUGAUCACCGAUGUGCUCCAGUAUGAAGAGUGAACUGAGACGCUACUGUGGAAUUGAGACAGGAUGGUGGCAGCAUCAUGCUGCGGGGAGGCUGCUGUGUGUCGAUUUCCAGUCUUCCUGACAACGACAGCCAGGAAGGAGUGUUUCACUCUUCACUUGUUUCAUCUCUUAUCCAAACUCUCCUUCCCUUCUGAGAUGAUUCGUUCUUUUAUAAAAUCAAACUUGUAUAAUAUAGAAUAAUGUUUAUCCAGAGAAUUUUGCUGCUUCUGUCAUUUAUUAAACUUAGCUAAAUAUAGCAAGCAUUUAGAAAGAAAGUGACCCACAUCCUGUUCUGAUUACUGAGAAUAAAUUUGUCCAGUUGAGCCUAAAAAUAUGAAAUUAGACACCUUUCUUUUAAAACAGCAAAAUGUGCAAAUUCCUUUUAAAGUUUUGUAUCUACAAAGAUGAACAUUUCUUUACUAAAACAUUCCCCCCAAAAUCUGAUCACUUUAUUAGCCUGAUUUUUGUUCUUUUCUUUUUCUUCUUUCAAGAUUGGACACCGUUGGCCUAGUCAAAGUCUAGACCUAAAUCCAACUGAGAAUCUGUCACAAGACAGUACAAAAGUACUGACACAACUUUCUAUCCCAAAACUAUUGUAGCUGCAGGAAAAUAUGGCUCUACAAAAUACUGACUCAGAGGAUGAAUACAAAUAAAAAGCAGUGAACAAAGUAAAUAUUAUAGGAAGCUAUUAAUCUGCUUCAACAAACCAAACAAACCCCAGAGUCUGUCUGUCUGUCUGUUUUUAACAGAAACUUGUCAAAACCUCGACAAACAUGUUUAACAAGGCUGGAGAGAAAACUGGAGACACUCCUGCAGGUCUGUGAGCGGCAGCAGAAGUCUCGCUAUCGCUGCCGAUAGCAGGGUUAUCUGUAAUUACAGCAGCAGGCUUCUCUCUCUGGUGCAUGUGACAACUUUCCUCUCGUUUCUAAAAUGAAUGCAUGACCCGAACGGCACCCCUUCAUGUCGCUGAGCGCUGAUUGCUGUGCUAAAAGCUAUCUUUGUGAAAGUGCUGUCCAAGAGCUCUUUUUCUGCACGUUGUGCUGGGAUUUCAUGAUGAUUUAUGUGACCCCAUUAAAUUAGCCUACAAGAAAAUCAAGCAAGGGUGAAACCUUAGUGUUGUCGAACGUUCCUCUGUUGGCAGCUUUGCUCCUGAAUCUAAAAUUCAACUUUUGAAAGCUUUAAAGUUCUCAGCGGACAUUCAGUGGCAGAAGUCCUCUUCCUGUUAGAAGGCUAAUCACUCUGCUGCUACCAUGUUGUCAUUCCAACAUACCUUUGUAAGUCGCUCCGUGUCAGUGCUCCAUCAUUAGUCCGGGUAAUGGCCUCUCUCAGUCUCCCAUGUACAGUUAGACCAACAUGGUUUUAUCUCUGUCAUCACAUUAGGUUGAGUGGGGAAAAUCACUCCUAAUGACACAGAGAUUAUUGGCAUUGUGUUUUGGUUUACCAGUAAAUGCUCGCCGUGCCACUGGGAUUUCCCCACAUAAGCCCUCCCUAUCAGUUUACAAUAACUUGUGCAUUCUGCUGUUACCCAGAAGGAUACUGGAACAGCACAGCAACCAAGUGUCGUUUCACUUAUUCACAAUGUCACAGAAAAUUUAGUCAAAAAUCAGAUUCCACAGAAACUACCUGAAACUAAUUGUUCAUUAAAUAAAAUAUUAAACCCACAUUCAUCUGUAAGACACUGUUAAUAUACCAGGUCAUUCAUAGCACUGGUCAAAUUGACAGACCACAUUAAAACACAAAUGUAAUUUAAGGACAGAUGUGAUAUAAAUGAGAUGCAGCUGAGCUCUAUAAACAGUUUAACUUCUACACUGAAAUAAAAUCAGACACCAGUUUU